CCAGACAAAAUUCCAGCAGCAGAAGCCACCCAAAGCAGCUGCCCUCCCCACAACUGCUCAUUCCAGCACAGCAAAGGAAGAGAGUCCACAGAGCUGCAAGGACAAGUCUCUCAAAAUGAGACCUGACUUCUGUGGCUUAUGCAAGAUCCAUUUAACUGUUGAUGAAGACAUGAAAUCAAUACUAAUUCUUAUCACUCUGCUUAAGUUGCAACAGAAGUCCAGGUAAACCAAAAAUUAACUUGGGACAGAUUUCUACUACAUAACAUGCAAUUUUUGUUCACUAAUGACUUUAUGCACUUUGGGGUGGGGGGGAAGCAUGCAUUGGACUGCUCUGAGCACCAGACCAUGUUCUGAGGGUGUGACUUGACGAGUAUGAGGAGCCCUCUCAAUUCAAAAUACCAAUUCCCUUGCUGAUGAUAUUUCUGAAAUUUUCACUUCAAGUGAAAUCUGCAUAUGCUUAAUUUGUUCCAAAAUACUGAGAUGGUCACAUCCUGACAGUGUCUAGCUGAAGAACUGUUCAUUCAUCUCCACAAAACAGUAUGACCCCCUCAGUAUUAUACUUUGACUGCAAAACCCAGAAUAAUUCAAAAUUUUCAUUGUGGUUCAUGUGUAACAAAAGGCAGAAUUGUACCAGAGCGUAACCUAAACGAUUCAGCAGGAAAUUUGGUUUUACUUACACUAUUAUUUUGUCCUGGAAGGGG